CCUAAUACAUGCAAGUCGAGCGAACAGACGAGGAGCUUGCUCCUCUGACGUUAGCGGCGGACGGGUGAGUAACACGUGGAUAACCUACCUAUAAGACUGGGAUAACUUCGGGAAACCGGAGCUAAUACCGGAUAAUAUAUUGAACCGCAUGGUUCAAUAGUGAAAGACGGUUUUGCUGUCACUUAUAGAUGGAUCCGCGCCGCAUUAGCUAGUUGGUAAGGUAACGGCUUACCAAGGCAACGAUGCGUAGCCGACCUGAGAGGGUGAUCGGCCACACUGGAACUGAGACACGGUCCAGACUCCUACGGGAGGCAGCAGUAGGGAAUCUUCCGCAAUGGGCGAAAGCCUGACGGAGCAACGCCGCGUGAGUGAUGAAGGUCUUCGGAUCGUAAAACUCUGUUAUUAGGGAAGAACAAAUGUGUAAGUAACUAUGCACGUCUUGACGGUACCUAAUCAGAAAGCCACGGCUAACUACGUGCCAGCAGCCGCGGUAAUACGUAGGUGGCAAGCGUUAUCCGGAAUUAUUGGGCGUAAAGCGCGCGUAGGCGGUUUUUUAAGUCUGAUGUGAAAGCCCACGGCUCAACCGUGGAGGGUCAUUGGAAACUGGAAAACUUGAGUGCAGAAGAGGAAAGUGGAAUUCCAUGUGUAGCGGUGAAAUGCGCAGAGAUAUGGAGGAACACCAGUGGCGAAGGCGACUUUCUGGUCUGUAACUGACGCUGAUGUGCGAAAGCGUGGGGAUCAAACAGGAUUAGAUACCCUGGUAGUCCACGCCGUAAACGAUGAGUGCUAAGUGUUAGGGGGUUUCCGCCCCUUAGUGCUGCAGCUAACGCAUUAAGCACUCCGCCUGGGGGAGUACGACCGCAAGGUUGAAACUCAAAGGAAUUGACGGGGACCCGCACAAGCGGUGGGAGCAUGUGGUUUAAUUCGAAGCAACGCGAAGAACCUUACCAAAUCUUGACAUCCUCUGAACCCCUCUAGA
rnacentral:rRNA from 1 species